ACAAGCAGAUCUACAGUUUUCAGAGCAGAGUCCUAGGCUAUGUGUUAAAGAACAGGGAGCACUACCAUCCUGAGCCCACUGAGUAAAGAAAAUGGGCUGGUUUUGUUGUCAAAACUCCCAGUUCUAACUCUUGGCCUUUAGCUGCAUAGGAGGAUGGGAACUGAGAUUUUCUGUAGAGCCUGAAGGUCUGCUUCCCCUCCUCUUCAUGAGGAAGGGGGUCUCCUACUAUUUUCUUCUCUGUUUGGGCUAUUUUUACAACACCCUGGAAGGAGGUGCAUUUGCUAUGAUGUGCAGCUGGAGGGCUAUACUUCAGACCACAGGACGGCUAUUGCUCAUGGAACAACAUAUGAGGGCUUCCGGUGAUUGCCAGCUCAUGUUGGGUAUGAAAUGCAAGAACACUUUGUUGGCAAGAGAGAUUCACCAAUGAACAGCAAGAUGUUUGCCUCUUCCCUGAUCUGUUUUUGGUCUGGCAAAUGUUGUCAACAGCAACUCCAAAGACAGAUGGUUUUAAAAACAUCAAAAAAACAUCUGCAGGACUGAUUCAAUAAGCAGGGAAAAGAAGAUUCAAUCAUCUAAUGUUCCAUGAUGUACUUUAGAGACUUGAAACACUUAAACAUUAGCUUCUUGGAAUUAGCAGCAAUCUAUAAUGUUUUGGUAAGAAUUAAGUACCUAGUUAAACAAAUUAUUGUAUCGUAGGCUUCAUCUUAAUUCUGUUUUUUGUUAAGCACUGUGAGAGAGUACAAACAUUUCAAAAGUUACAGCAAUUGUACAGGCCAUUUACAAAUGCAGUAACUUAUCUUAACCAAAAUCAUAGCAUUCAUUAAACUUUUAAAAAUCUGCAAAAUUCCGUAUUACUUACUGCUCAGGUAAGCUUUCAAAGAGAGCAGGAGCUCCAACGCUUACUUUGAAUUUAAGAAAGUUUGUGUAUCUUUGUGGCAAGAACUAAAUGAUACUGAAAUGAAGAAGAUACAAUUUAAAAUGAAUAAACGGGACAAUUAAUUAGCUAAUAGCCAGAUUGGUCUUGGUCUGUAGGGCUAUUUUAAGAUCUUGUAUUAACUCUGGAGCUCUGCUUCCCUGCAGCAUCUGACAGCUUCCCUGUGCACAUUAUACUUGCUGGAAUAUAUAAUAUACUAGAUCCUGUCAGUAAAAAAAAAUUCCAUUCACCCCAAAUGACUACACCUUAAAGUAUGUGGCGC